AUCGAAGACAGGAAUCCGACCGCCCGGCGAGCCGGAGGUAUCCUUGGAGUCGAGCGGGUCACUGUCACCGAUUUCGUUGCGGGCCACCACUCGGAAGUAGUACUUCCUGCCGGGGAGUAACCCUGUCACCGUGUACUUGUUGCUGAAGACGCGGUCGGCUGCCGUGAACCAGGUGGCGGUACUGGCAUCCCACUUCAGGAUGACGUAGUGGGCCUCGCCGUCUUCCUGCACGUCAGGGCUGUGGUUCCAGGUCAGAGUCACUGUGUUGGGGACCUCCUCAAACAGCUGUAGGUUUGUGGGUGGCCGCGGAAAAUCUGGAACAGCCACAAGGUCCGUCAGCCACCCUUGGGGGCCUGAAGACUUGUGCCCCAGCCCAGCUGCCUGCCAAGCCCCAUGGAAGAUGGAAUGGGGAAUGUCUCAGGCCGCUGGUGUUUCGGAGUCAGAAAGAACUUUCUGAGGUGCAGCUCUGCCAUUUACCAGCCCUGUAAACUCUGAGACCCAUUUCCUCAUUUGCAAAAUAGGGCUAACAAUAACUCCCACAGAAAAUGUUGAGUAAAGUGCCUGGCACAUAGUAACUGUUCAAUAAAAGUUUAUCCCUUCAUCCCUA